UACAGAGGGUGCGAGCAUUAAUCGGAAUUACUGGGCGUAAAGCGCGCGUAGGCGGUUUUGUAAGUCGGGUGUGAAAUCCCCAAGCUUAACUUGGGAACUGCAUUCGAGACUGCAUAGCUAGAGUAUGGGAGAGGGAAGUGGAAUUUCAGGUGUAGCGGUGAAAUGCGUAGAUAUCUGAAGGAACAUCAGUGGCGAAAGCGACUUCCUGGACCAAUACUGACGCUCAUGUGCGAAAAGCGUGGGGAGCAAACAGG
rnacentral:rRNA from 1 species